AUUGAACGCUGGCGGCAGGCCUAACACAUGCAAGUCGAGCGGUAGCACAGGGAGCUUGCUCCUGGGUGACGAGCGGCGGACGGGUGAGUAAUGUCUGGGAAACUGCCUGAUGGAGGGGGAUAACUACUGGAAACGGUAGCUAAUACCGCAUAACGUCGCAAGACCAAAGAGGGGGACCUUCAGGCCUCUUGCCAUCAGAUGUGCCCAGAUGGGAUUAGCUAGUAGGUGGGGUAACGGCUCACCUAGGCGACGAUCCCUAGCUGGUCUGAGAGGAUGACCAGCCACACUGGAACUGAGACACGGUCCAGACUCCUACGGGAGGCAGCAGUGGGGAAUAUUGCACAAUGGGCGCAAGCCUGAUGCAGCCAUGCCGCGUGUAUGAAGAAGGCCUUCGGGUUGUAAAGUACUUUCAGCGGGGAGGAAGGCGAUAAGGUUAAUAACCUUGUCGAUUGACGUUACCCGCAGAAGAAGCACCGGCUAACUCCGUGUCAGCCGCCGCGGUAA
rnacentral:rRNA from 1 species